UACGAAGGGGGGCUAGCGUUGCUCGGAAUUACUGGGCGUAAAGGGCGCGUAGGCGGCGCGGCUAGUCAGGCGUGAAAUUCCCCGGGCUUAACCUGGGGGCUGCGCUUGAUACGGUCGUGCUAGAGGAUGGAAGAGGCUCGUGGAAUUCCCCAGUGUAGAGGUGAAAAUUCGUAGAUAUUGGGAAGAACACCGGUGGCGAAGG
rnacentral:rRNA from 1 species